AUAAGCUUGAGCUAUUGAGUGUGAAGUUGGCGCAAGCACUGACACUUCCGUCGCUCAAUAUUUCAGCUGAUUUUAAAGCGAAAUUGAAGGUUGUCCACUCUGACAUCCUCUGCUUCUUGGCCAAAAAUGUUGAACUGAAGGCAAUGAGUACUCAAUAUCUUCGCGCUGCAUCUAAAAGAGAGUCUUUCCUUCUGGAGAUUAAUAAAGCCGAGGACGAAUUGAAAGAAAUCUCUUCCGAAGUUAUGGUUGAAGACUCUUUGAUGACAAGUUUGGCUACAGAGAUGAAGGAGCUUCAAGCAAAAAUGGACGACUGUAGGAUGAGAAUGGCUGCCAAAAAGCGUAAUGCUUCCCAAGGAAUUGAGUGAACCAAGUCUUUGGUCGAGCAGUACAAAAAGCUGGAGGUUGAUGACGAUUUUGUAGCUGAAUUAAAUGUCGCUUCUUCUCAGCAGAGCGAGGAUUGGGGAAGACUUAGGGAAAGAAUUCGAUCGGCCUGGGGUGAAUUGUAAUUAAGACAUCUAAUGCCUUAAAUUUUCCUUUUGUAACUUCGUACUAACUGCCAUUGCUAAAUUUGAAUGUAAC
rnacentral:lncRNA from 1 species